rnacentral:rRNA from 1 species
UAAGGAGGGCGCAAGCGUUAAUCGGAAUUACUGGGCGUAAAGCGCACGCAGGCGGUUUGUUAAGUCAGAUGUGAAAUCCCCGGGCUCAACCUGGGAACUGCAUCUGAUACUGGCAAGCUUGAGUCUCGUAGAGGGGGGUAGAAUUCCAGGUGUAGCGGUGAAAUGCGUAGAGAUCUGGAGGAAUACCGGUGGCGAAGGCGGCCCCCUGGACGAAGACUGACGCUCAGGUGCGAAAGCGUGGGGAGCAAACAGG